GCCAGGCACACUGGCGCACGCCUGUAAUCCCAGCCGCUCAGGAGGUUGAGGCAGGAGGAUCAUGAUUUCAAAGCCAGCCUCAGCAACUUAGGCCAGAAGCAACUCAGUGAGACCCUGUCUCUA
rnacentral:sRNA from 1 species